AAGCCUUGUGGUGUAUAACAUGUUAGAUUGCAAAUCUAAAGAUGCAGGUUAAACCCCCGCCGGGGCUUUC
rnacentral:tRNA from 1 species